UCAGGAACAAGACAAGGAUGCCCAGUCUCUCCACUUUGAUUCAACAUGAUAGCGAAAACCCUAGCCAGAGAAAUUAGCCAAGAAAAAAGAAUAAAAG